UGAUCAGAUCGUUGAGACAGCAGGUGACCUGUUUGAGUGUGAUGCUGUCGAAAAGUUAUUUUCAUCUUACUUGCGCGAUGUUAGUCUGUGCAUUAAGGAUACAUCUGGCAUUAAUUGUGAGAAUUGGGGCAAUCUGAAUCUUGCAACAGCUCUGAUAGUGAUAUUGGCCCUGAAGAAGACGACAAUGAUUUUCAUGAGGUGCUUUCAGAAGAUGAGGUAUCAAAGUUGAUGGAUGAUGCACGUAAAUAUUAUGGUGUUCUGUCGAUGGCCCUUAGCUUGAGAACCUACAAGAAGAUUCGGUCUGCCUAUCGAGUUAGGAAUGAAAAGAAGAUAUUGUUGGAGUCCUUAAUUAAGAAAGCUAAGGAAGCGUUUGAAGCAGAACAAGCCCAAGUGUGUGAGAAAGUGCCUCCUCCUUUGACUGAAUCUGUAGAGCAAGUUGAAGUUCUUGGUGACGGCAAGGAUGAAGAACUCGUUUUAGCUGAGUUUUCAGAGCAAGCCUUUUCCUCAUGCUGUGCUGCUGAAUUAGAACAUUGAUGUUGAUAAUCUUGUGUGCAUUUCUGCAGUGCCUCCUCCUUUGACUGAAUCUGUAGAGCAAGUUGAAGUUCUUGGUGACGGCAAGGAUGAAGAACUAGUUUUAGCUGAGUUUUCAGAGCAGAAUGUGGUUAAUAUUAUAGACACAAGUUGAAUUAGUCCUAGAUUGCACCAAUCAAGGAGCCUUGUACUAAUAUUAGUAUUUAGUUGUAGUACAAUUGGGACCCCAAAAAAAAAUCAAUCAGGAGAUUGCAGAACCUCCAGCACGUAAUAAGCUCCUUGAUUGGUGCAAUCUCGGACGCAGACUGACUAAUGACAUUGGAUAGGGGCAUUAUUGUUCAUGCUUGUCAAUUUUAGAUUGCUUAUGUCAA